CAGUAGCCACGGUAAUACGUAGGUGGCAAGCGUUAUCCGGAAUUAUUGGGCGUAAAGCGCGCGUAGGCGGUUUUUUAAGUCUGAUGUGAAAGCCCACGGCUCAACCGUGGAGGGUCAUUGGAAACUGGAAAACUUGAGUGCAGAAGAGGAAAGUGGAAUUCCAUGUGUAGCGGUGAAAUGCGCAGAGAUAUGGAGGAACACCAGUGGCGAAGGCGACUUUCUGGUCUGUAACUGACGCUGAUGUGCGAAAGCGUGGGGAUCAAACAGGAUUAGAUACCCGUGUAGUCCCUGUCUCUUAUAC
rnacentral:rRNA from 1 species